UACGAGGGGUGCAAGCGUUGCUCGGAAUUAUUGGGCGUAAAGGGUAGGUAGGUGGUCUCAUUUGUCUGGGGUGAAAGCCUCGAGCUUAACUCGAGAAGUGCCUCGGAAACGGUGAGACUAGAGUCUUGGAGAGGGUCGUGGAAUUCCCGGUGUAGCGGUGAAAUGCGUAGAGAUCGGAAAGAACACCAACGGCGAAAGCACUCUGCUGGGCCGACACUGACACUGAGAGACGAAAGCUAGGGGAGCGAAUGGG
rnacentral:rRNA from 1 species